GUGAAUCAUCAAAUUUUUGAACGCAAAUUGCACUCCCUGGUAUUCCGGGGAGUAUGCCUGUUUGAGGGUCGUUAGAACAAAAAUCGAAGCGUCGCUCUUUUUUUUAAGGGUGGUCGGGGUGGAAUUGGGGCGUCUUUCAAAUGGUUAUUUAUGGCAAAGUGGGUUUGAAAUCAAUCAACCGGGAAG
rnacentral:misc_RNA from 1 species